rnacentral:rRNA from 1 species
AUUGAACGCUGGCGGCAGGCUUAACACAUGCAAGUCGAGCGGAGAGAGGUAGCUUGCUACCGAUCUUAGCGGCGGACGGGUGAGUAAUGCUUAGGAAUCUGCCUAGUAGUGGGGGACAACAUUUCGAAAGGAAUGCUAAUACCGCAUACGUCCUACGGGAGAAAGCAGGGGAUCUUCGGACCUUGCGCUAAUAGAUGAGCCUAAGUCGGAUUAGCUAGUUGGUGGGGUAAAGGCCUACCAAGGCGACGACCUGUAGCGGGUCUGAGAGGAUGAUCCGCCACACUGGGACUGAGACACGGCCCAGACUCCUACGGGAGGCAGCAGUGGGGAAUAUUGGACAAUGGGCGGAAGCCUGAUCCAGCCAUGCCGCGUGUGUGAAGAAGGCCUUAUGGUUGUAAAGCACUUUAAGCGAGGAGGAGGCUACUUUAGUUAAUACCUAGAGAUAGUGGACGUUACUCGCAGAAUAAGCACCGGCUAACUCUGUGCCAGCCGCCGCGGUAAGAC